CCUACGGGAGGCAGCAGUGGGGAAUAUUGGACAAUGGGCGAAAGCCUGAUCCAGCCAUGCCGCGUGUGUGAAGAAGGUCUUCGGAUUGUAAAGCACUUUAAGUUGGGAGGAAGGGUUGUAGAUUAAUACUCUGCAAUUUUGACGUUACCGACAGAAUAAGCACCGGCUAACUCUGUGCCAGCAGCCGCGGUAA
rnacentral:rRNA from 1 species